rnacentral:rRNA from 1 species
AGGAUGAACGCUAGCUACAGGCUUAACACAUGCAAGUCGAGGGGCAUCAGGAAGAAAGCUUGCUUUCUUGCUGGCGACCGGCGCACGGGUGAGUAACACGUAUCCAACCUGCCCUUUACUCGGGGAUAGCCUUUCGAAAGAAAGAUUAAUACCCGAUGGUACAAUUAUUCCGCAUGGUUUGAUUAUUAAAGGAUUCCGGUAAAGGAUGGGGAUGCGUUCCAUUAGGUUGUUGGUGAGGUAACGGCUCACCAAGCCUUCGAUGGAUAGGGGUUCUGAGAGGAAGGUCCCCCACAUUGGAACUGAGACACGGUCCAAACUCCUACGGGAGGCAGCAGUGAGGAAUAUUGGUCAAUGGGCGUGAGCCUGAACCAGCCAAGUAGCGUGAAGGAUGACUGCCCUAUGGGUUGUAAACUUCUUUUAUAUUAGAAUAAAGUGCAGUAUGUAUACUGUUUUGUAUGUAUAAUAUGAAUAAGGAUCGGCUAACUCCGUG